CUGAAGUAUCAAUAAUGAGCUGUUGCUGAUAUCGUGCACGCUCGUUAUUCUUCAUUUCUCCAUCAUUUGUGCAUCACUUGUGUGGAUCACAAUUAGGACUGCUUUGCAAAGUUGCUAUUUGCGGGGCUUUCCUUGUAAUCUUUUGAUCCACAUGUUUUAUUUUUCACAUACACCAAUGGUUUAGAAGGAAUAUAUAUUUUUUGAUGAAUUGUUAUA
rnacentral:misc_RNA from 1 species